UCCGAAUUGCUAUUAAGUCUCUAUUUGGUUUUGGAUUAUUUUUGUCUUCUAGAAAUUCCGUUAAAGCGUCAAUAUCACAGCCUCUUUGCUGAACACCGAAUAGUACCACCGAUGGUAUUUCCCCAGUAACCGAAUGUUUUGAAUUGUUUAUUGCAUAUUCCGCUUUUUUGCUGCUCUAACAUGUUCAAUGUUGUUACUUAGCAUGAACUCGCUGAAUUCCAACGAUGUGAAACAUGAGCCCCUAUCACUGACAAUUCUCCUAGGUCUGCUGUAAUUUUCAAAAUAUUUCGUUAAGCAUGCGCAAACUUCCUUAGUACUAGUUGUGUUUGCAGAAUACAAUUUGACAAACUUUGUGAACCCAUCAA